rnacentral:lncRNA from 1 species
GCGGCGACAGAAGAGCUCAUGUCCACCCAAUGGCACUUCCCUGGGGAAGUGCUUGCGUGGCUUCCUGCCCCAAGUUCUAUUUUCUGGCUCUCACUGGCCACCACCCUGGGCUCCCUAGUAUGAUAUGUAGUACAUUGCAGUGCUACUAUCCUACCCCUGACCAACCAGGCAACUAACUCAUCCAGAUGCGGCGAGGAUCUGAUUUCUGACUUGGCUCACGGUACAAGCCAUGGCGCUGAGUGCUGAGCGAACGUCCCUCCCGCGUCCUUGACUCUGGUUGGGGAGUUGCCCUAGCAGAAGCGGUAAAGAACGUGUGAGUACUAACCAGCUUGAGCCUCCUGUACCCCAAGCCAAUCUUGGGAAGCUUCGCUGGUGGUUUGAGCAACUUUUGCACUUCCAUAGGGUUCUGCCUCCCGAUCCUACUGUCUACUAUCUAGAGGACCUCAGGGUCCCCCUUUAGUUUCCCUGUCCUAACGGGAUUUGACCCUCCUUUGACGGUUACUCUUGUGCUCAAUCUCCGCCCGCCCAGACUCGGCCAGGCCCACCGGGUGGCCGCGGUGCGCACCCAGAACCGGGCAGAGCGCGCACACACAGCGGCCGCAGCGGCGACAGAAGAGCUCAGCCGGGCGUUCGCUGUGCUCCGGACAGCGCCAGCCAUACGCCCCGUCGGGCUGAAAGGGCGCCCGCGCCUCGGUACAAGGAAUUUAAGAAACAUUCAAACAAUCACUCAAACGGCUUCAGGCACGGUUUCAUAUGAAAAGCAUAGGUCCGUAUCUUGAUUCCCGUUUCCCUCUGGGAUACAACCUCAAGUUUUGUUCUAGGAAGCAGAAUUAUUGUAGAGCUAAGGGCCUAUCGGUGUCCCUGAGGGCAAGGGUGGAGGAGAGCACUGCUCAGAGCUGUCCUAAGGCCAUCCGCAGGUUUUUGAUCUCUAGUUCCAGCUGCUUGGUCUGGACUUCUCUCUGGAUUAACAGCUCCCGGAGCCUCCGGAUCUCCUCCUGUUGCCGGUAGAACAUCUGCAGCAGCUGUGAAGCACAGUGAAGAGGGAGAGGUCAUCUGGGUGGCCGGGAUAGGCCACAGCACAGAGGCUGAGGCACACACUUCUGACUUGGUGACAGCCGUUAAAUUAUUAGCAAGGGACAGUCACUUCUGAGCCGUGACGAAAGCCUUGCUUGCUUUACCCAACAGUGAAGUUCCGGACUCUAUUCAAUUUUAACAAUGCAGCAGGAUCUAGAAUCACCUAUGGAGUUUCUAGAUUGAUCCAUCCUAACUGUGGGUAGCAUUAACAAAUGGGAUGAGAUCCUGGGCUGAAAGCUGAGUGCCAGCAUCUAUCUCUGUCCGCCUCCAGCUUGUGGAUACCAUGUAACCCGCUGCCCUAAGCUCCUGCUGCUGCCUUCCUUCACCAUGCUGGGCUGUGCCCUGGAACUGUGAACCCAAAUAAACUUCCUUUAAGUUG